CGGGCUUGUAAUGAGCCCGGCGGCCCUGGUCUGUAUUAUGGCAAUUUAAGUAAUAAUACAGACCUUGAUUUGAGUAUAAGCCGAGUGGGGGGGUUUUCAGCACAAAAAAUGUGCUGAAAAACUCGGCUUAUACUCGAGUAUAUACGGUACAUAUGAAUUAAAAUACUAGUAAAAAUAAAGAUAUCAAUAAAAAUGAAAAAUGCAAUUAUAUGCUCCUACAAUAUAGUAGGUGGUGUGAA